rnacentral:rRNA from 1 species
CCUACGGGGGGCUGCAGUGGGGAAUAUUGGACAAUGGGGGGAACCCUGAUCCAGCCAUGCCGCGUGUGUGAAGAAGGCCCUCGGGUUGUAAAGCACUUUCAGUGAGGAAGAACGCCUGGUGGUUAAUACCCAUCAGGAAAGACAUCACUCACAGAAGAAGCACCGGCUAACUCCGUGCCAGCAGCCGCGGUAAUACGGAGGGUGCGAGCGUUAAUCGGAAUUACUGGGCGUAAAGCGCGCGUAGGUGGCUUGAUAAGCCGGUUGUGAAAGCCCCGGGCUCAAACUGGGAACGGCAUCCGGAACUGUCAAGCUAGAGUGCAGGAGAGGAAGGUAGAAUUCCCGGUGUAGCGGUGAAAUGCGUAGAGAUCGGGAGGAAUACCAGUGGCGAAGGCGGCCUUCUGGACUGACACUGACACUGAGGUGCGAAAGCGUGGGUAGCAAACAGGAUUAGAUACCCUGGUAGUC